rnacentral:lncRNA from 1 species
GUGGAGUCACACCCAAUAUACAUGGACUAGAUGUUGGAAUUUGGAUGCAAUGGUGGAGAUGGAAUAGUUAGAAAGGUUUGGUGAUGCCAUAGUAAAAUAUAGACUAUUCAUUGGGUCAUGAAUCAUAUAUGACUCAAGAAAAAUUUGAAGUAGUUCCUUUAUUAGCUUGCCAUUGUUUAUAUAUCAUGUAGCUUUUAACUAUAUUACAACAAUAUCGUCACCCCCAUAGCAAGAACAGGACUUUAGCACAACUCAACUAUAAUCUCUAAGCAUGACAGACAAAGUGGGGCGAAGAUCAUGAAGAGGCAAUUUUGUCCCUCAUACCAACCAAAGGA